rnacentral:misc_RNA from 1 species
GGCUGGUGACCCCCGCCGCCC